rnacentral:piRNA from 1 species
UACUUCGAAAAAAUAAAUUCA